GCAGCAGCCGCGGUAAUACGGAGGGUGCAAGCGUUAAUCGGAAUUACUGGGCGUAAAGCGCACGCAGGCGGUUUGUUAAGUCAGAUAUGAAAUCCCCGAGCUUAACUUGGGAACUGCAUUUGAAACUGGCAAGCUAGAGUCUUGUAGAGGGGGGUAGAAUUCCAGGUGUAGCGGUGAAAUGCGUAGAGAUCUGGAGGAAUACCGGUGGCGAAGGCGGCCCCCUGGACAAAGACUGACGCUCAGGUGCGAAAGCGUGGGGAGCAAACAGGAUUAGAUACCCGAGUAGUCCCUGUCUCUUAUAC
rnacentral:rRNA from 1 species